rnacentral:rRNA from 1 species
GGGGGGGGGGGGGGGGGGGGGGGGGGGAGGGGGGGGGGGGGGGGGGAGGGGGGGGGGGGCGGCGUUGGUGGGGAGGGGCGGACGGUGGGGGAGGGGCGGGGAGGCUUGCUGGGGGAGGGGGGUGACUGGUGUGAACGGUGGCGGAUAGGGCCGAGCGGCGGGAGACCAAGGAGGGUGACCUGCGGGCCUCUGGCCAUCGGAUGGGCCCGGAUGGGAUUAGCGAGUAGGUGGGGUAACGGCUCACCUAGGCGACGAUCGCUAGCUGGUGUGAGAGGAUGACCAGCCACACUGGAACUGAGACACGGUCCAGACUCCUACGGGAGGCAGCAGUGGGGAAUAUUGCACAAUGGGCGCAAGUCUGAUGCAGCCAUGCCGCGUGUAUGAAGAAGGCCUUCGGGUUGUAAAGUACUUUCAGCGGGGAGGAAGGGAGUAAAGUUAAUACCUUUGCUCAUUGACGUUACCCGCAGAAGAAGCACCCGCUAACUCCGUG